rnacentral:rRNA from 1 species
AUUGAACGCUGGCGGCAUGCUUUACACAUGCAAGUCGAGCGGCAGCGCGGGGGCAACCCUGGCGGCGAGCGGCGAACGGGUGAGUAAUACAUCGGAACGUGCCCCGUAGUGGGGGAUAACUCAGCGAAAGCUGGGCUAAUACCGCAUAUGCUCUACGGAGGAAAGUGGGGGACCGCAAGGCCUCACGCUAUGGGAGCGGCCGAUGUCCGAUUAGCUUGUUGGUGAGGUAAAGGCUCACCAAGGCGACGAUCGGUAGCUGGUCUGAGAGGAUGAUCAGCCAGACUGGGACUGAUGCACGGCCCAGACUCCUACGGGAGGCAGCAGUGGGGAAUUUUGGACAAUGGGGGCAACCCUGAUCCAGCCAUGCCGCGUGCGGGAAGAAGGCCUUCGGGUUGUAAACCGCUUUUGUCCGGGAAGAAGAGUGAUGGAGGAAAUGCUAUCACUUAGACGGUACCGACAGAAUAAGCACCGGCAAACUCUGUGCCAGCAGCCGCGGUAACAC